AACGAACGCUGGCGGCGCGCCUAAUACAUGCAAGUCGAGCGAGAAGGUGUAGCAAUACACUUGUAAAGCGGCGAACGGGUGAGGAAUGCAUGGGUAACCUACCCUCGAGUGGGGAAUAACUAGCCGAAAGGUUAGCUAAUACCGCAUACGUUUCCGGAACUUCGGUUUCGGAAAGAAAGCAAUACCGUGGGUAUUGCGCUCCUGGAUGGGCUCAUGUCCUAUCAGCUUGUUGGUGAGGUAACGGCUCACCAAGGCUUCGACGGGUAGCUGGUCUGAGAGGACGAUCAGCCACACUGGCACUGCGACACGGGCCAGACUCCUACGGGAGGCAGCAGUAAGGAAUAUUGCGCAAAUGGACGAAAGUCUGACGCAGCGACGCCGCGU
rnacentral:rRNA from 1 species